CUGUCUCCUUUUUCUAAUCAGUGAAACUAAUCUUCCCGUGAAGAAGCGGGAAUACCCCUAUAAGACGAGAAGACCCCAUGGAGCUUCAAACCCAACUACACCCCUAACUUCUAUAACCCCCACCCCACGGGACCCUGUAUAGUUGGUUUUAGGUUGGGGCAACCACGGAGCACAACAAAGCCUCCACAAUGAAUGGGACCACCCCCCUUAUCUAAGAGCCACACCCCUAGGAAUUAAAACAUUAAUAUAAAAUGAUCCAUUAUUUGAUCAAUGAACCAAGUUACCCUGGGGAUAACAGCGCAAUCCAUUUCAAGAGCCCCUAUCGACAAAUGGG
rnacentral:rRNA from 1 species